GGACCUGACUGCUAUCGGAUUGGUACCAAGCCAUGCGAGUCAUUGUAGCAAUACAAGGCGGACGGCUCAGUAACACGUAGUCAACCUAACUCGUGGACGUGGAUAACCUCGGGAAACUGAGAAUAAACCACGAUAGAUCAUAAUGCCUGGAAUGGCUUAUGGUCCAAACAGUUUACUGCCAUGGGAUGGGACUGCGGCCUAUCAGCUUGUUGGUGAGGUAAUGGCCCACCAAGGCGAUUACAGGUACGGGCUCUGAGAGGAGAAGCCCGGAGAUGGGUACUGAGACACGGACCCAGGCCCUAUGGGGCGCAGAGGGCGAGAAACCUUAGCAAUGUGCGAAAGCACGACUGGGUCAGUCCGAGUGAUUCCUGAUAAAGGAGUCUUUUACCUGUCCUAAAAGCACAGGUGAAUAAGGGGUGGGCAAGUCUGGUGUCAGCCGCCGCGGUAAUACCAGCACCUCGAGUGGUCAGGACGUUUAUUGGGCCUAAAGCAUCCGUAGCCGGCUCUGCAAGUCUUCGGUUAAAUCCACCUGCUCAACAGAUGGGCUGCUGGAGAUACUACAGAGCUAGGGAGUGGGAGAGGCAGACGGUAUUCAGUGGGUAGGGGUAAAAUCCUCUGAUCCCUUGAGGRCCACCAGUGGCGAAGGCGGUCUKCCAAGAACACGUUCGACGGUGAGGGAUGAAGCUKGGGGAGCAAACCGGAUUAGAUACCCSGGUAGUCCCAGCUGUAAACGAUGCAAACUCGGUGRUGSAUUKGCUUAUKGGC
rnacentral:rRNA from 1 species